UGGAAUCUGUGGGUACUUGCACGAUCUCAUCUAUAUCACCUGCUUUGUUCAGCUAGCUUCUAUCAUCUCUGGAAAGUUUUGGUACAUGUAUCUAGUGAUUCCUGCGUUUGGUGCGUACAAAGCUUCUGGUCUAAUUCGAGGAUUUAUGUCACAAGGCUCAGAGGAAGGUGUGGAAGAUGAAAAAACCCGUAAAAAGCGAGAGAAGAUGGAGAAGAAAGCUUCGAGAGGGCAAGUUGUCAGGACGAGAACAAGAUGAAUGCGUUUUUGUGGAAUACAACAUGAACUUGGGGAACGUUCUUUCUUCAAACUAUACAAAUGUAUCAACAGGUGAACUCUCUAGGUUCUGUUAUUCCCUUUUACAUUGACAUUGUCAGUCUAUACAAUAUUUUACUUUGAUGGGGAAUA